rnacentral:rRNA from 1 species
AGAGUUUGAUCAUGGCUCAGGAUAAACGCUGGCGGCGUGCCUAACACAUGCAAGUCGAACGCUCUGGAGAAAUCCAGGGAGUGGCGGACGGGUGAGGAACACGUGGGUUAUCUACCUUGGGGUGAGGAAUACCGGCGAGAAAUCGCCGACAAUACCGCAUAGGUUUGGAAACAAACAAAGCUGAGCAAUCAGCGCCACAAGAUGAGCCUGCGGCCGAUUAUGCUAGCUGGUGGGGUAAAGGCCUACCAGGGCUUCGAUCGGUAGCUGGUCUGAGAGGACGAUCAGCCACACUGGGAUUGAGAACGGCCCAGACUCCUACGGGGGGCAGCAGUGAGGAAUUUUCGUCAAUGGGGGAAACCCUGAACGAGCAACGCCGCGUGCAGGAAGAAGGUUUUCGGAUCGUAAACUGCUUUUCCUGGGGAAGAGAACGGACGGUACCCAGGGAAGAAGCCCCGGCUAACUACGUGCCAGCAGCCGCGGUAAUACGUAGGGGGCAAGCGUUGUCCGGAUUUAUUGGGCGUAAAGCGCACGCAGGCGGUCUUGUAAGUUUCGAGUGACAGGUGGUGGCUUAACUGCCACAGGCCUUGGAAAACUGCAAGACUUGAGGACUUCAGAGGGAUGCGGAAUUCCAGGUGGAGCGGUGAAAUGCGUAGAGAUCUGGAAGAACACCAAUGGCGAAGGCAGCAUUCUGGGAAGUAACUGACGCUCAGGUGCGAAAGCCAGGGGAGCGAACGGGAUUAGAUACCCCGGUAGUCCUGGCCGUAAACGAUGACCACUAGACGUAGGAGGUAUCGACCCCUUCUGUGUCGCAGCAAACGCACUAAGUGGUCCGCCUGGGGAGUACGGUCGCAAGAUUAAAACUCAAAGGAAUUGACGGGGACCCGCACAAGCAGCGGAGCGUGUGGUUUAAUUCGAUGCAACGCGAAAACCUUACCAAGGCUUGACAUG